rnacentral:lncRNA from 1 species
CAUGAUGAAAAUUGUUUUUAGGAGUUUAUCAUAUACCCACAUGAACAUGACCUCCUACAAGGUCCAGAGAAAGGAAGAGAAAUGGUGUGUACAUAAAAACCCAGUACAGAAUUAAAGCCAAAAAAAAAAAAAAAAACUAACUAUAAAACGACAAGGACCUAUGUUUCGGAGGGGGAAAUACAAAGAACUUUGAAAAACUUCAGGCAGAUCAUUAAUUAAUUUGGGCUUAUUAUUUCCAACUAAGAGCCAGGGCAAUUUUAAGUGGUCUGACUAAACUCUUACACUCAUUCAUUCACUUGGAAAACAACCAUUGCUUCCCAGCCACUUUUCUGGCCCCAGGGACCAAAGUUAAAUUUCUGCAUUUAUUUCCCCCAACUUUCUGACUGAUUGAAUAAAGCUCUGAACUCUGACAGCCUAGCUCAUGCGACCAGCUACUGUCAUAACGUUCAUCCUUGUUUACCAAAAUAGCCUGGCAUUUAGUAAGAGAAAGUGGAUUUUAAGGCUGAGCGGCAUCAAAAUGGUCCACCUGUGUAUCUGCUGGAAACAUUAAACAAGCAAUUAAGUCCUUCAUCUCCAGUCAUUCCACACGGUUUGUCCAGGGGCGUCCGUUAUCACCACAGGCUGUGUUGUUUUAAGAAACCUGAAUUCAGCCAAGAUAAUGAAAAUCUCCAAGUCAGAGCAAGUGCUGCAUAUUCAGGGGGUUCCUGCAGUUUCUGCCUCUCCCAGCCUUUAUCUUCUAAGGCCUGUAUUAGUUACUUUUCUCACUGUUCUGAUGGAUACGACUUAAGGGAGAAAGGAUUUAUUUUGGUUCUCAGUUCCAGAAGUUAGUUUGCCAUGCCAGGACAGGCCUGGUGGAGCAUCUCUGUGGUCGGUGGCCGGAGUGUGUCAAGCCAGUUCCUCACAUCUUUGUGAUUUCCAUUGCAUGGCCUAGUG